rnacentral:tRNA from 1 species
GCCCCGGUAGCUUAGCCUGGUUAGAGCGCCGCCCUGGUAAGGCGGAGAACCCGGGUUCAAAGCCCGGCCGGGGCU